rnacentral:rRNA from 1 species
UACGUAGGCAGCAAGCGUUGUUCGGAAUUACUGGGCGUAAAGAGUGUGUAGGCGGUGCUCCAAGUCUGGGGUGAAAUCUCCCGGCUUAACUGGGAGGGUGCAUUAGAAACUGGAAUGCUAGAGGAUGGGAGAGGUAAGCGGAAUUCCUGGUGUAGCGGUGAAAUGCGUAGAUAUCAGGAGGAACACCUGUGGUGUAGACAGCUUACUGGACCAUUUCUGACGCUGAGACACGAAAGCGUGGGUAGCAAACAGG